rnacentral:rRNA from 1 species
UACGGAGGGUGCAAGCGUUAUCCGGAUUCACUGGGUUUAAAGGGUGCGUAGGCGGGCAGGUAAGUCAGUGGUGAAAUCUCCGGGCUUAACUCGGAAACUGCCAUUGAUACUAUCUUGCUUGAAUACCGUGGAGGUCAGCGGAAUAUGUCAUGUAGCGGUGAAAUGCUUAGAUAUGACAUAGAACACCAAUUGCGAAGGCAGCUGGCUACACGAAUAUUGACACUGAUGCACGAAAGCGUGGGGAUCAAACAGG